AUUGAACGCUGGCGGCAGGCCUAACACAUGCAAGUCGAGCGGAUGAAGGGAGCUUGCUCCUGGAUUCAGCGGCGGACGGGUGAGUAAUGCCUAGGAAUCUGCCUGGUAGUGGGGGAUAACGUCCGGAAACGGGCGCUAAUACCGCAUACGUCCUGAGGGAGAAAGUGGGGGAUCUUCGGACCUCACGCUAUCAGAUGAGCCUAGGUCGGAUUAGCUAGUUGGUGGGGUAAAGGCCUACCAAGGCGACGAUCCGUAACUGGUCUGAGAGGAUGAUCAGUCACACUGGAACUGAGACACGGUCCAGACUCCUAAGGGAGGCAGCAGUGGGGAAUAGUGGACAAUGGGGGAAAGUCUGAUCCAGCCAGGGCGAGUGUGUGAAGAAGGUCUUCGGAUUGGAAAGCACUUUAAGUUGGGAGGAAGGGCAGUAAGUUAAUACCUUGCUGUUUUGACGUUACCAACAGAAGAAGCACCGGCUAACUACGUG
rnacentral:rRNA from 1 species